CCUACGGGUGGCAGCAGUCGAGAAUCAUUCACAAUGGGGGAAACCCUGAUGGUGCGACGCCGCGUGGGGGAAUGAAGGUCUUCGGAUUGUAAACCCCUGUCAUGUGGGAGCGAAUUAACAAGAUAGUACCACAAGAGGAAGAGACGGCUAACUCCGUGCCAGCAGCCGCGGUAAUACAGAGGUCGCAAGCGUUGUUCGGAAUCACUGGGCGUAAGGGGUGCGUAGGCUGUUUAGCAAGUCGUGUGUGAAAGGCGCGGGCUCAACCCGCGGACGGCACAUAAUACGGCGAGACUAGAGUGAAGGAGGGGGAAGCGGAAUUCUCGGUGUAGCAGUGAAAUGCGUAGAUAUCGAGAGGAACACUAGUGGCGAAGGCGAGUUACUGGACAUUAACUGACGCUGAGGCACGAGGGCCAGGGGAGCGAAAGGGAUUAGAUACCCCAGUAGUC
rnacentral:rRNA from 1 species